UGACCUGAGCCACAGCAGCGACAACCCCAGGUCCUUAACCCACUGUACCACCAGGGAACUCCUAGAGCCUCUUUUUAAAUGCCCACUUAUGGAAAAGAAAACUGAGACCCAGAGAGGUCAAGUGAUUUUCCCAAGAUCGUGCAAAUUAUUUGAGUGGCUGAGCUGGGACUAGCUGACACAUACUCAUUCACCGAACAAAUACUGAGCCUUGUUCCAUGCAGGGGCUCUGCCAGGUGUCCUGGAGAUGUUCUGCCCUCCCGGAGCUCACAGAAUAAGAGCAGAGCCCACUUGGUGAGCGUGGAGUGGGAAAGAUAUAUCAGAAAUCUGUCGAGGAGGAGGUGAGGCUUGCAGACGGGAAAAAAAGAGCCCGGAGGAUGAACAGCAUAAGCACAGACACAUGAAACUGUGAGAGAGGAGAGGAUGGAUCAGAAGGUCACCGACACCUGCAGUGUGGCCACCUAGUGGCUGCUCAAGACAUUGCAGGCAAAACAGAAGGGAGAAUGAUGGCUCACACUCACUGAGUGCUAUUUACUCUAUGCUUCCGGCCAUGCAUUAACUCAUUUCCUCUUCCCUGCAGCCUGACAGGAUGGGCAUCAUUUUAUCCCUAACUUUCAGAUUCAUAUGCUGAGGCACCUUCAUUAGUAACUUGCCCAACACUGCACUUAUUUAAAAUGGGAGGAUGGGAUUUGCCGAGAGAAAUCUGGCUUCAAGCCCAGGCUCACAGCCACUCAGCUACACCUGCCUGGAGGAGGAAGGCUCACCUCCCAGGUGUAAAGGGAUGGGUCCCAGUUGACUCUGUGUUUGGGAAAGGACUUUCUGGUGGCCGUGUUUCCACAAGAGUGGGAAGAAGGGGAAGAGUGGAGGGUUACUGCCAAAAUCAGGCAAAGCGGCCCGUCCGAAGAAGGGAAAGGAGGGUGGGCUGGGGUGGGGGUGGGAUUCGAGGUUAAUCCCGCCUGGGGAUGGGUGCCUGAGAGGUGGUGCCACUAACAGCACAGGGGACUCAGUGGCCCAUCAGCAACUCCCAUCAGAGGUGCCUGCGAAGCUGUGCGGGAGGCGACUACGUCCUGGAGGUACCACUUUGGAAGCAGAUACUUCCCGGGAAGGGAUGGAAAUGAAUGGAGUGGAUAAGGUCCCUGUGGCCUUCAUUCAACCACUACUGAUGAGGGAGCCCCUGUGUUCUGGAUCUGUGCUGGACACCUGGACAUUACGAUAAACAAGACAGCUGUGGUCUCUGCCUCGUGGAGAUCAGAGCUCACAGUCUUGUUCAGAGGCCAUCACCAUGACCAACGUGAGACUGUGAGCCCCCUGGCAGGGGGGAGCUUGGAGAGCUGAGGGCAGGAGGUCAGGACCACUCCCCAGAGAAAACGGCCACCAGCCUAUGACGUUGAGAGCAGAAGGAUCAGAUCGGCCAUCCCACCUUGCACCGGAGACGGGGCUCUGGUGCUCGUGGUGAGAGCAGCCUCAGCAGAGUGUUGCGCACGAAGGCGGGGAGGAGCGAGUGGAAGGAUGGAGGCAGAAGCAGCAAACAUCAGCCACCCCACAUGGUACUGGAUGGGCCCGCUCUCCACUUUCCCAGAUGCCUCUUUCCAAAUGGACUGUGACGCCACAGCAGCCACACUUGAUUUUCCUCUUACACCUACCCCCCGCCCCCGACAGAGAACGCUAUGCUGCGGGAGAAUUAGCAAUGGAUUUAAAGUCAAAAGACCAGGGUCCAUGCCACCACCCAGUUGUGCAAGGUCACCCCCUCUCCGAGUGUGCACUUUUUCCUCAAGAAAUUAGGAUGCAAAUGAAUCUCCAGUGAGAGAGCAUCCUACACACCCUCGUGCAACAGCCCUUGGCUUCAGUGCCAAAACCACCGUCACUGCCACCAUCACUGAGGCUGGGUUUGUGGGGAAGGCCCUUUGUUGCCUCUUGGCACCUGGAAGAUUCUUCCAUCAGCUUCUUCCCAUCCCCCUGCUCCCCCCCUUGCUCGCGUCCCCUCCUCCUUGUCCCUCUCCCGACUUUGUCAGCUCCCGUCCACCCCGUCCCCCAUGGCACACACGGAGCUCACAGAACUGGUCAGGAGCCCGGUUAUUCAUUUGCAAAGUCCACGUACCGUACUGUACCGGCUCAGCAACGCAGAACGAACCAGCCCCCUUAUGUUGGUGCGUCCAGAGGUCCAGGAGAGCAGCCGGGUCCAGCAUGUUCCGUCCCCACCAGCCAAGCAGAGCCUCAAGCCUGGCUAUUACCCCAACUUGUCACUUGACCUCGGGCAGAAGCCAACCUUUCCUUGGGCUUCAGCUUUCACAGCUCAGUAUCAGUAAAAGGGGCUAAAACGGGGGUCUGGCUGCUCGCCGCUCAAAGCCAGUAAAGAGAGGCGAGCUGGGUGGGAAGGAACAUUUGCUUUAUCCCUGAGGUCGGCAAAUGGGGGAGGCUGGACUUGUGUCCACAGGCGCCCUCACCCCCCUGACCACCGGGGGGCAAGAGCUUUUAAAGGAGAGCUUCAGGGGCAUAAACAGACGCAGGGGACCACAAGCAGCCAGCGUGUCGGUCGCGCCGCGGCCUGAGCAGCCCCCUUGACGGAGCACCGCGCAUCUUCCUUCCGGGGUCAGCCUGGUCCCGUUUCCCUGAGUCCGAAUCGUGGCAGCUGAUGUCCUGGCUACCGUCUGGUCGGCAUGUGGUUCACUUCUUCCACCUGGUGGGGCCCCACGAUCGACAGACAGCGCGGAGGAUGGGGUUCCGAGUAUCACCUGCCGCCCGUGAGGAGAAACUAAAGGGCCCUGACUCUGCGUGACGGCUAAACCAUCAUUAGUUGCCACCAGGUGGCAGCCGAGGCUACAGGCAGAAGAAGAGCAGCCCCUCCCCAACCCACUGCAGACCAACCAGAUGGAGCAUCAGUGUUCCCUGACCCCGGGACCUUCAGGGGAAAGAGCUUGCGCGAGCAGGUGCAGGUGUGUGUCUGAGGGGUAUGGACAGACAUACAGCUGGACAGAUGACUGGGUUUAGCCCCUUCCUCUGGGUCUCUUCCUACCCCUCAGGUUUCCCUUCCCUGGGCUCAGCCCUGACCUGGGUGCUGGUGAUCAGAGAGGAAAGUCACCCCAGGCCUGCCCUUGAGGAGCGCCCAGACCUGGGGCCGGACACAGACCAGUGAACAGACCACACAGGGUGCCUCGCGGGGAAGGCAUGACAGGACCACUUCUCCUGGCAAGUGCACGGAGCAUCUGAAAGGCCAAGUGGUCCCACACGCAGUGGGAAGAAGAGCUGGCACUUGAACCAGAGCCUGCACGAAUCUUAAGCCCGAGCUCCUGGCCACUGUAUGUACUGCUGGGAACUUAACACUGGGAGGAGGGCCAAGCUGGGGGGUCCAGGCCCUGGGCCAGAUCUAGAGGGAGGCAGAUGCCUCCCAUCUACGGCCCAGUGCAAGUCCAGGCAUCUGACUCACCUGUGGGCUCGGUCCAAGGGGAUCAGGUAGGAGAACAGAGGGUCACAACUCUCUGCACCCCCCCAACCCCGCUCCUCUACCCUGGGCCGGAGGAGGAGAGGCCAGCAGCAGUCCCAUCUGAUGGCUCCCAAGCACAAUGAGCAGUAGUAUUUCUGCUCGUGUCCCUCUGAGCGGGAGGCAAGUCACCUUGAAAACCAUCCCAACGCCCUGCGUCUCUGUCUUACUAACAGGUGACACUCAAGCUAGAUCUCCGCAGCCUUUUUUCAAAACCAACUCCAGGCCGGAAGUUCCCCUUAGAGUCUAACUGAAGUAAGCUGUGCUGCCAUCACCUUCGACUCUGCAGUUCCUGUGUGCAGCUUUUCGUGGGCGAGUUAAAUGCUGACCCCAUUGUGUGGAGGCUCAGCCUUUCCUUCUAUGGCGAAGU